GUUGUUCAACAAGUGCUGCAAUGAUUUCAAUGCCGUUGACAAUUGGAGCACUAAUUUUGAAAGUAAAUGGUUCAGUCAUGUAGUCACUUUUGCCAAAGCAAAUUCUGUAGCACCUUUUAAGAUCCACCCUGUAGAUUUUCAAACUACCAACCACAAAGGAACCCUAAGUCAUCUUGUACAGGCUUUUUCCCACGAUCCCUCGAUUUCGUCCAUUGUUUUUGGGUGGGGUUGAGAAUCAAAGAGCGACUCGAAGAGCUCUAUCCAACCUGUUUUUGUUGAUCCCCUAGGCUAAACUUCAAACGAGGUCUACAUUGCCUGAAUCUCGAGCAUCAAACUUACUGCGUCCGCUGUUGCUCGCUACCAGUUUUUGACCCAAUACCAUGUGAAUGAGCAUGGUGGUGGUGGUGGUCCUAAUCCAAUGACGAGAAGGGGCAUAGAACUGAAUGGUCGCUAGAAGUGGGGACAAUGUGGUCUUCCCAUUCCUCAACAUCAUCCUUUUCAUUGUCUGACGCUCACGUCCUGAAAUUCCAUUCUCCAACAAGUUUGCACGCCUCGAUUUGGUCCACUUUUGGGGAAACGAUUGGCCUUGGGCUUCCUCAGCUUCUUCCCUUUGUGGAUAUCAAGGCCGGAUAAAUAAGCCAGAGCUCUACUGACCAUGAACUCAAAUUGGACUCAACUAACGAAGAACUUUCGGUUGGACGAUGAAGAAGAAUUGCAUCUGGACUAAGGACUACUUUUACGACUCAUUAAACUCCUCAGAACCGACGAAAAUAGGCCAUGAGCAAGUGCACGCUUACUUAAAAGCGGGCGUGGAACAAAGCAUACGUUUUGUCCCCCGCGCGCCAUACACACGUUCGCUCGUUCAGCGAGCUCUCAGAUGAUCCGAGUCCCUUAAUGAGAAUCUUUUUUGAGGCUCCUUUCGUUGAAUGAGAGUGGCUCUUAUUGUGCUAGAUGCAGUCGAUUUUGGCAAGCCACGCGCCACUCGAUGGGCUUUUACACGCUCAUUGGAAAUGAAUUAGUCGUCGGGAGAGAGAGCGAAAAAGUGAGUGAGUGAGUGAGUUGGAACAACUUCGGGAUGAACCAGAAGACCAAUACUACAUCGAGUGUACGUACCAACGCACUUACGGACAAACACAGAAUUGAGUGGUAUUGGUAAAUGAGCACAACACUUCUAAUUGGGAACGGAAAAAGCGAGAUCAGUUGAGUCAGCGUUUGUUGAUGGAACACCUCCUCAAUACCUGGGAUCUAGCAAUCGUGCCAUGGACGCCACUUCAUCAUCGUAGGGAGCAUUGAGGUGCCACUUUUUUAUGGUCUACAACAUGAAAUCGAAAGAACGGCAUGAUUCAUCAAUGCUGACUUCUUUUGGGGAAGUCAAGACCUUGAAUGGAACGUGGGAGAAGAGAUAUCGCACUGAGCCAGACAACAUCAUGGAAAUCUGAUUCUAAUUGUCCGACCUUCACCUCUUUCGGAAGAAGACAAUUUCUCCAAGUCAUUUCCAGGAGUUUCCUCUCAAUCAUUCGCAAAUGAGAAUCUUAACCAUAACCACUCGAGAGAUCAAUAUACAAUCAUUGAUACUCCAGCAAUGCCUUCUUUGGUGACGGAGGAGACUCAGGCAAACGAUGAGUAGACUCCCACGAGCCAUGAAUUACCCGGAACUUUGACGAUAAAAUAGUGGAUAUGUCACAAAGUACAAACUUGCAGUUCUAUGGGUCUCUCCAACUUAAAGUAGUUAGUUCUGGUUUGUUACUGAACGAAAAUGGAUUAUUUUUUCCAAGGCGAAAGAGGCGACAAAUCAGAAAGCUUUUCCUCAUGAAAGGCAAGGAUAAAAGAAGUCACUUGGUUUAUUUUUCUCAUGAUAUGUGUGUCUUAAAUCAAGAAUUUAAUUCCAUCUUCAUGGAAAAAGGUUUCUAGCUCUCAAGGCCAGUUCAUUUUUACUCAACUGAGACGUAAUCGAAAAACUGUCUGAAAGCAGGACAAGGAAAUUGCAAGUGUUCCCUCUAUAUGAUGAUAAACAGCAUCCUUCCUGGGAGUAAAAAGAAAUGUACGCAUGAAUUUCAGUCGGAUAGCCUGACAGGUCAACUCUCGAGCCCGGUUUUUGUGAGACCGUGAUGAAGGAUCGUUCAAUUUUCAACCAGAGGGAAAUGAAAAAAAAAUACAUAUCCUAAAUACUAUAGGCCUGACUUCUCAAUUUAUGCCUGUAAACACAUACAAAAAGAACGCCCAGGGAAAGAAAAGGACCGAA